CUUCUUCAUGUCUUUAUUAUGAACUUUGUCUCCAGUAGAGGACACUAGAGGACACUUUACUCUUCAUGUCUUUGUUUAUUCUCUCUGUUUCUUAGACUUGUUCCAGUCCUCAGUGUCGAUCGUCUUCGUCCGUCUUUCAGUCCAAAGCAAAGAUUGUGAUCGAUGACGGCACCGGUGAGGCUCACCUGUGGUUCUCAGGUGCUCUUGUUCGUCCUCUGCUGGGAUUGGCUGAUUCUCAGUGGGAGGGGCUUCAGAGAGCGCUAAGGGUCAGAGGUCACGUCAGAGUCUACCCCCGGGGGCGGAGCCUGGUGUGUGACUCUGGUGACCCUCUCCUCCACUUCCUGUUGUGUGUGUGCAGCAGUGAUGUCGUGUGUCGUCAGCUCUCUCUCACCUGCAGAAAACAAAACAACCAGAGAUCAGGAGAGAUGAAGAGGUUCAGCAGAGGAGAACGAGACUUCAUGACCAGAGUGACUCCUCCUCUACAGCUCACCUGUCUGCACCUGAACGCCGACUGAUCUCACCUGUACACGUCAACGCACCCGUACACGUCAACGCACCCGUACACGUCAACGCACCUGUACACGACAACGCUGACUGACCUCACCUGUCUGCACACUGACCACAGGAAGAGGCGGAGACAGUUCACCUUACUUUGAAUGUUUUCUCUCAGUUUUAUAGAAUGUGUUGAUAUUCUGUUUCGUUUGGUUUGACAUGUUGAUAUAAGUUAUUAAAUAUUCAUUUAUUUCUCCUGAA